GCCGGAGGUGCUCGUGGCGAGUCUGGCAAACGGGAAGGUGGGAGGAGGCAGGGAGGAGGCAGCGGCGCACGAACGCGAGGCGUACAGGAAGAACAAGUUUACCUGGCAUCUCAAUCAAGUAUGGCGUCGAGAUUACUAAUACAGAAGAGAAGAGUUGUCAAUGUCAAGUGAGAGUUCAUGCAGAGGAGCAGCAAAAGCAUGUCACAUAUGUUUCAGCAACAGUAUGGGCGUCAAGAAGAGAGAGAUGGAUGAAACCAAUCAGUAGAUGAGGUAGAUUCUCCCCAGUGCUAGGCCACCAAGACGCUGUGGAGAAGUGGGACAACACUUAUGGUACUGUUAUUGUGAAUUGCAACAUCAUUUUUGCUAAUACAUUAUGCAUUUUUUCUCCUACAGUCCUACAGGUGAUCAAGACGCAUACGAUUAAAAAGGAGUUGACAGGGCUGAAAAUGAGUAAGAAGUCAGUUGGAGUGAGAAGUGAGAAAAGUACCAUGAGCUCAAGUGAUUCAUUCACCAAGCUGGUAAACGCAUAAACUUUAAAAAGA